rnacentral:lncRNA from 12 species
CAGAACUCUCAAUGGCAUCCUCUCUUCUUGCAAGUAGCCUCGCAGAGAUGACUGCCCACUCCCCUCACAUGGGUCUCAGAUGGAAAAUCUCUGCUCUCAGGCUCCCUUGAGGGGAUAUCCACUUCCACGGGCUCUGCCCCUCCCAGUUAGAAUGCUUGAAGGAUAUUUCUUAUUCCUCUCACAGCAUUUAUCUUUGCCACAUGUUUUGUGUUUGUACAUGUAUAUAUAUGUCUCUCUCUCUCUCUCUCUUUAUAUAUAUAUAUAUAUAUAUAUAUAUAUAUAUAUAUAUAUAUAAAAGUAGUUUUUUAGUAUUUUCUUUUAGCAAUCUCUUUCUUGGUUUCGAAAGUGAAUUUUGUUCAUUGCAGGGGAAGUUCAAGUACAAAAUUGUACAUAUAAGAAAAAAAUCAUCAGUAAUCCCAUAUGCAGAGGUAACCAAUGUGAAGAUUUGGGUCAAGAAGCCUGUAAUUCUCCAAGUGAUCCCUGAACCUUAUUUAAUGCAGCCAACCACAAAAGGAGCUGAGUUGAACUUUGGUGUCUGCAAGUUAGAAAGUAAUAACUUUCUCAUCUCUUCUGUAAGUGACUUAUGCCAUGUGAUGAAUGCAGACCCUUCCCUCACAAGGGUUUCCUGAUAUUAUACACUUGUAGCAAAUAAGGUUAGAACCUUUAAAAUAUAGCAUUUAGUAAUGUGCUGGAAAUAGCUUCUUCUCGAUUCCUUUAAAGGUCACCGCAUUUGCUUUCCAGGCGUCAUUUUAGCUCUAGCCUCUCCAGAGUGGAACUGAGAACAUGCUUGCCUUUGCGCCUUCAAUUUUCCCAAGCUUAAGAGUAAAAUGGCAAGAUCUUUCACAUAAAGUGGAGUGUGUGUGUAUAUGUCUGUGUGCGUGUGUCUGUUCUUGUGAGUUUAGACAUAUAAAUGCAUUACCAAGAGAAUCUUAACAUUGGUUAUAUACAUGCACACUGUUUUUUCAGUUGGAGGUAAGAUUAUUAUCCUAUAUUAUCCUCAGUUCAGAAGCCAAGCUAAUGAGAGUGAAAUUGGGACGACAUCUACCAAAGGAGACCAAACUCUCGGAGAAAGUGCUCCAUCGUUUGUGCUUUUCCUGAGCACUCCAUGGACCAUACUUCUUUGUGGACCAGGCUUCACUGUGGACUAUGCUUCACCAAACCUAAGUAUUUCAACAAGACCCUAACCAGAUAAGUUAGCAUCAGUCCACAAACUUUGCUGCUCUUCCACUGCAAAAAACAAACAAACAAAACAAAACAAAACAGAAAAUGAAUUCAUUAAGCCAUUGAUAUAAAGCAAGAAAAAAUAGUCAAUUGCAGCACUGCUAUCAAAAUUAGAUUGGAAUGGCAGAUUGAAAUGAGACACUAUUUCACACCAACUAAUACAAAUCAAGUCCAGACUUGGCAAAAAGAGAGUGGCUUCUCUUGUAAAGCAUAUUUCACUAGAAUCAUCAUUGUCAUUUGUCAGCGCUGCCGUAUCCUUUUCUUCACAUCUCCAUCAUUAGCAUCAUUGUUAACAUCAUCAUCAUUCUGUUUAUAGUUAUCAGUUGUGUUUUUUUUAAGAAAUACACUAAAAAUUAAAAGUAGCCCCUAUCUGCUAAUGCCUGACUCUACGUUCACCAUGCUCUAGCUAAACCUGAUCCUCUCCCUGCACAUUAAAUCUCUACCUAGAACUCCAAGCCAGUAUAAGUUCUCUUCCUUCUUCCAGGACCUCAUUUAUUUUGAAUUCCCCAUAGCAGCCUAUUAUCAGGCUAUUACUAAUUUUUCAUUUAAAAUGAUCUGUUUUGGUUGUUGGCAAUCUUUUCAAAUGUGCAUAUUUUGUUGGUUCAGCUAGAACAUAAGGGUCUUGAAGGCAGAGACUGUGCUUUGUACAUUGAUGUAAACACCAUAUUAUUUAGAUUAGUGCCUUAUAUGUAGUAUUGUAUGAUAUUUAAUAAAUAUUCAAAUAAUAUUUAUCA